CCUACGGGAGGCAGCAGUGGGGAAUAUUGGGCAAUGGGCGCAAGCCUGACCCAGCAACGCCGCGUGAAGGAAGAAGGCUUUCGGGUUGUAAACUUCUUUUGACAGGGAAGAGCAGAAGACGGUACCUGUCGAAUAAGCCACGGCUAACUACGUGCCAGCAGCCGCGGUAAUACGUAGGGGGAAAGCGUUGUCCGGAUUUACUGGGUGGAAAGGGCGUGUAGCCGGGCUGACAAGUCAGAUGUGAAAUCCGGGGGCUCAACCCCCGAACUGCAUUUGAAACUGUUGGUCUUGAGUAUCGGAGAGGCAGGCGGAAUUCCUAGUGUAGCGGUGAAAUGCGUAGAUAUUAGGAGGAACACCAGUGGCGAAGGCGGCCUGCUGGACGACAACUGACGGUGAGGCGCGAAAGCGUGGGGAGCAAACAGGAUUAGAUACCCCUGUAGUC
rnacentral:rRNA from 1 species